GACGGAGGGUGCAAGCGUUGUUCGGAUUGACUGGGCGUAAAGGGCGUGUAGGCGGUCGGCCAAGUCUGAUGUGAAAGCCCGAGGCUCAGCCUCGGAAGUGCGUCGGAAACUAGUCGGCUGGAGCGCGAUAGAGGAGGGUGGAAUUCCUGGUGUAGCGGUGAAAUGCGUAGAUAUCGGGAGGAACACCUGUGGCGAAAGCGGCGCACUGGACCAUAACUGACGCUGAUGCGCGAAAGCUAGGGGAGCAAACAGG
rnacentral:rRNA from 1 species